rnacentral:rRNA from 1 species
GACGAACGCUGGCGGCGUGCCUAAUACAUGCAAGUCGAACGCACAGUUUAUACCGUAGCUUGCUUCACCAUAGACUGUGAGUUGCGAACGCGUGAGUUACGCGUAGGUGACCUGCCUGGUAUCGGGGGAUAACUACUGGUAACGCUAGCUACUAGCGCAUGAUAUUAAUUAUUGCAUGAUAAUUAAUUGAACAGAGCAAUUGCACCCCUACCAGCUGGACCUUCGUUUUAUUAGCUAGUAGGUGAGGUAACGGCUCACCUAGGCGAAGAUACAUCAACGACCUGGAAAGGAUGACCGCCCACAUUGGAAUGAGGCACGGCCCAGACUUCUACGGGAGGCAGCCGGAGGGAAUCUUUGGAAAUGGACGGAAGUCUGACUGAGCAAAGCCGGGUGAGUGAAGAAGGUUUUCGGAUCGUAAAGGUCUGUUGUAAGAGAAGAACGGGUAUGAGAGUGGAAAGUUCACACUGUGACGGUAUCUUAAGAGAAAGGGACGGCUAACUACGUG